rnacentral:rRNA from 1 species
UACGUAGGGUGCAAGCGUUGUCCGGAAUUAUUGGGCGUAAAGAGCUUGUAGGCGGUUUGUCGCGUCUGCUGUGAAAUUUCGGGGCUCAACCCCGAACUUGCAGUGGGUACGGGCAGACUAGAGUGUGGUAGGGGAGACUGGAAUUCCUGGUGUAGCGGUGAAAUGCGCAGAUAUCAGGAGGAACACCGAUGGCGAAGGCAGGUCUCUGGGCCAUAACUGACGCUGAGGAACGAAAGCGUGGGGAGCGAACAGG